AGGAGAAACCUGACAUGCUCUUGAUCUCUCUGGGAUUUCAUCUUAGAAGACUGAAUGUUUUUUCUAGAGGGGUCUUCCCCAGAACAUCAGAAGUAACAGUAGACCAGUCCUCCACCAAUUUUUGUAGAAGGUCUGAACUAUCAGAGUCACAGGUUUGAACCUCAGCCAAAGAAAAAAGUGAAAAUUGAAUCGAGGCAGUAGAGUUUCAAGUCCCACGCCAUGAUCUGCAGCUCCAGUAAUGGUAACAGUCCUGACCCAAGCCCCACCCUGACUGGAGUUUCAAAUUUCAGCCGUGGGUGGAGUCAGCCUCCAACUUCACUGUUUGGAUACCCUUUAAAGAAGUCUGGCGUCAAAUCGGCUGACGGUGCAAGAAAAUAAAGCCCUCUCCCUCAUGAAGCUAACAGAAACUUUCAUAAAGAGGUGGGAUUUUCCCUCUGCUGCUGCUCUUUGCCGGCAGGGCUUUGACGGGCUCUCUGGACUCAGUCGGCGGCUGAACUGUGACCUGGAACUCCCUUCUCUCGUGUAGACCGCAGUAGUGAUGGUGAAGGUGGCAGGAAUACAUGCC